CCUACGGGAGGCAGCAGUAGGGAAUCUUUCACAAUGGGCGAAAGCCUGAUGGAGCAACGCCGCGUGCAGGAUGAAGGCCUUCGGGUUGUAAACUGCUUUUAUAAGCGAGAAAUAUGAUGGUAACUUAUGAAUAAGGAUCGGCUAACUACGUGCCAGCAGCCGCGGUCAUACGUAGGAUCCGAGCAUUAUCCGGGGUGACUGGGUGUAAAGAGUUGCGUAGGUGGCAUAAUAAGUAGCUAGUGAAAUCUGGUGGCGCAACCAUUCAGACUAUUAGCUAAACUGUUAAGCUCGAGACCGUUAGGGGUAACUGGAAUUUCUAGUGUAGGAGUGAAAUCCGUAGAUAUUAGAAGGAACACCAAUAGCGUAGGCAGGUUGCUGGGACGGUUCUGACACUAAGGCACGAAAGCGUAGGGAGCAAACAGGAUUAGAUACCCCAGUAGUC
rnacentral:rRNA from 1 species